rnacentral:misc_RNA from 1 species
GAGAGAGAGAGAGAGAGAGAAUUAAGUGCCACCCUCAGAACCCAAAAGUUGACAGUGCAUCAACCUAACCACUCGUAUUGGGCAUAGAAAGCCUACUCCACCUUUAAAAUUCAAGAACUAGAUCAUUGAAGUUCCAAGUACGUAAAAUAAUCAUAUGAUGCAACAAAUAGGAAGCCUCCUUUAUUAUUCUCAGAUGAGGCAGAAACCUAAUAAGAUAUAAGAAAAAUGGAAAAAUACCUGCCAUUACAAAAGCAAAAUGAAUCAUUGGGCCGAUGCAGGAUUUGGUGGGGCAGUGUGCCGGCGAUGGGAGGUGACUGG